rnacentral:rRNA from 1 species
UACAGAGGUCUCAAGCGUUGUUCGGAUUCAUUGGGCGUAAAGGGUGCGUAGGCGGCGCGGUAAGUCGGGUGUGAAAUCUUGGGGCUUAACCCCGAAACGGCACUCGAAACUGCCCGGCUGGAGGGCCGGAGAGGAGAUCGGAAUUCACGGUGUAGCAGUGAAAUGCGUAGAGAUCGUGAGGAAGACCCGUGGCGAAGGCGGAUCUCUGGACGGCUAACUGACGCUGAGGCGCGAAGGCCAGGGGAGCAAACGGG